rnacentral:rRNA from 1 species
CGGGAAGAGCUCAAAUUUGAAAUCUGGCGUGCUCAGUGCGUCCGAGUUGUAAUCUAUAGAGGCGUUUUCCGUGCCGGACUGUGUCUAAGUCCCUUGGAACAGGGUAUCAAAGAGGGUGAUAAUCCCGUACUUGACACAAUGACCGGUGCUCUGUGAUACGUCUUCUACGAGUCGAGUUGUUUGGGAAUGCAGCUCAAAAUGGGUGGUGAGUUCCAUCUAAAGCUAAAUAUUGGCGAGAGACCGAUAGCGAACAAGUACCGUGAGGGAAAGAUGAAAAGCACUUUGGAAAGAGAGUUAAACAGUACGUGAAAUUGUUGAAAGGGAAACGAUUGAAGUCAGUCGUGACUGAGAGGCUCAGCCGGUUCUGCCGGUGUAUUCCCCUCAGUCGGGUCAACAUCAGUUUUGUUCGGUGGAUAAGGGCAGCUGGAAGGUGGCACCUCCGGGUGUGUUAUAGCCAGCUGUCGCAUACAUCGAAUGAGACUGAGGAAUGCAGCUCGCCUUUAUGGCCGGGGUUCGCCCACGUCCGAGCUUAGGAUGUUGACAUAAUGGCUUUAAACGACCCGUC